rnacentral:rRNA from 1 species
UACGUAGGUGGCAAGCGUUGUCCGGAUUUACUGGGCGUAAAGGGCGUGCAGGCGGUCUGUUAAGUUCAGGGUGAAAGCUCCCGGCUCAACUGGGAGAGGUCCUUGGAUACUGGCAGACUUGAGGGAGGUAGAGGAGAGUGGAAUUCUCGGUGUAGCGGUGAAAUGCGUAGAUAUCGAGAGGAACACCUGCGGCGAAGGCGGGUUGCUGGGCUGACACUGACGCUGAAGCGCGAAAGCUAGGGGAGCGAACGGG